CUCAUUCUCUCUUGCUGCCACAAUGUAAGAAUUGUCUUUCACCCUCUGCCGCGUAAGAAUUUUCUUUCACCCUCUGCCGUGAUCGUGAGACCUUCCCCAGCCAUGUGAAACUUUUUCAGCUUUCCUCCACUGUUUUGGGAAACGUCAUAUUCUUAUCUUGGAAGAGUAAUCUGAAAAUUGAAGCAUCUUAGAUCCAACAAGGAUUAAAAGGAGAUGUCCUUGCAGCCAUCCAAUAGAGUCAGAAGACUUUGGAUUUUGGAGUCUGUGAGAUGAUGUACUCACAUCCCAACAAAUUGAAAAUGCUGACCAAUCCCAGCAUAGCCAACUCGAAUUUGCUCCUCCGUCAAAGUGACUAGUACCUCAUUUCUUCCUCUUUAGAAUUUGUAGUUCAGGAACUUUGCAGAUCUCUUAUUAACUCUUCAGUUAAUAAUGAGAGUCCUAUGGCUAUUGAUAUCUAGCAUCGUGGCUUCACUUACAUGGAUGAGCCCCAGCUGGAAUGCCUAGAAGACGUGGGACAGCUGGAUCUCUCUCCACACGGUUUUUCAUUGUUGCCUCAGGUUCCAACAAAAGCAAAAGCUGCAAGGUCUUCUGAGGGGAAGACUUAGAAAUACCACAAUGUUACUUCUGCUGCAUUUUGUUGACAAAAAAUCCCACAAUGCCAGCUUCAUUUAAAGGGGUAAAGAUACAGAUUAUUCACCUUCGAUGGGAGGAACUGCAAAUGAUGUAAUUUGUGAUAAUUUUUAAUAUAUUGUAAUGUAUUGACUUAUCUUUAAAAAAUGAAAAAUAAACCAAAAACUAAAAGCAAAACAAAACUAUAAUAGAAAACAACUGCUUCUGGAGGAGGAAUGCAAUGGGGAAAAUAUUAUAGAAACAAAAGUUACAUUUUAUUUGAAUAUACCUGUUUUAGGUUUGACCCUGGUAACAUUUAAUAUUUUACAUAAUUAUAUCAUUAUUUAAAAUUAAAUUUAAAAUUUAAUUUUAAAACACCAAUACCUAUAACAGAAAAGUUUGAUAAAACAGGUGAAAUAUAAAUAUAAAUAUAAAUAUAUUAAGUUGGCAUUAUAAUCACACAGACAUGAAUUAUAUCAUUUACUCAAACACAGAUAUUUGACUAUACAACCUUUGUGAGAUAUCCUAAGGACAAAAAAAAUGCAAAAACAUAUAUUGAACUGUUAUAAAAUUAUAUUUUUUGCAAUGGAAUUAUUAUUGUGAGACAAGUGUGUACAUAUUUUAAGAUCAAGCAAGUUAGUAAGUUUGUUGACAUUAUUGUAAAUGAGAUUUGUCCCAUGGGGUAAAGAAGAUAUAAUAGCAAGUAGAAGAAAAUAAAUGAAAACCCAAUAAUAUGAGUUUGAAGUUAAACUAUCAGUAUGAAGUCAUAAAGCAUUUUCCCAACAAAAAGAAAAAAAAUAGUUUCCUAGUUCUAAUCACUUAAAAGUAUAUAGAAACAACAUAAAACUCAAUAUCAAGAGGAAAUGUAAUACUCAGAUUGUUCUCUGUAGACAUUUCCCCUAAAAGGAGUUGAAGUUCAUUGCAAAAAGUGUCUAAUUCCGGCUUGGGGGGUUGAAUAUUGUACAACAUGAGCCUGGAAUAUCAACUUCUCUUAUUAAAAAGCGAGGCAGUUUUGAAAGACUAUUAGGAUGCAUCAAAGAGACUCAGAGGAGUCACCCUGAAGAGGUUACCAUUGGCCAAAGGUAAAAAUUUGAGAAUCAAUAAGAAAAACAAAGGCAGUAGAUUAAAAUGCCUCAAAUAUGCUUAAAUCUAUCUGUUCCUAAUAAUGUUAAUUGAAAAAUAAUGUUGUCAUUGGACACCUUUGAAGAAUGUUAGGGAUCCAUAAGAAUGUAUUGUUUUGAAUUGAAGAGAAGAAUUAAGUAUUUAUCCUGUUUUUCCUUUAUGGAUUAUGUCUAAGGAUAACCAAAUGUUGAUGAUAGAAAAUCCUUUUUAAAGAUACCUUUAGCCAAAGAAUGAAGAAAGAAUGAUAGAAUUGAAAUGUUACCAUUUUUGCAACCCCUAAUGAAAUAAUGAAUCUAGCCAGUUGUCAUCAAUUGUUGCUAACAUAAAAAAUGAGAGACAAACAGACACGCCUCUUCAUAGAAGCAUAUGAUACCACCUAUAAAAUAUUACUGCCAGAAAAAAAAAUCAAACUUUGGAUCUAAUUACCAAUUAGAUCAGAGUUUAGAUCUAACUACCAAUUUGCAAUAUUUACAGGAGAUACAGGAGCAUGUUGAAUGACACCAUAAAAAGGCAAUCAGUAAAAUUUAGUUUAUUAUAAACUAUAUAGGAUAAAUGAUCCCGUUGCUGCAAUAAAUAUAUUACAGAAGGUGUGUAUUGGGGGGUGGGAGAUAAAGGAGCAAUCUAUGAUAAAAGCAGACUUAAGGGACAUAAAAACAACUUUAAUGUAUGGAUCUUAUUUGGAUCCUUAAGAAAACAAAUUGUAAAGUAACAUGAGACAUUUGAAGAAAAUAGAAAUAGUUUUUAAUUGUGGUAAUGAUAUUGUGGUUAUACAUUGUUAAAGAAAGCCUUUAGAGGUAAAUACAGAAAUAUCUGCAGAUGAGCUAAAAUGAUGUCUAGAAUUUACAUAAAAGUAAUCCUGUAGGGAGAGUGAAGAAGUGGAAAGAGUGGAUAUUGAUAAGCAAGAGUAGCUAUAAGUUGACCACUGCUGAAUGUUGUUGAUGGGUAAAUGAAAAUGUGUUAUAUAUUUUUUUACUUAUAUAUUUGAAGAUUUUGAUUUUUAAAAAAGUGAAGCUGAGAAAGGGAAAAUCGUUUUUCUUGAUGUCGGGCUUUGAACCGAGAUAAAAAUAAAACCACUGUAGACCAAAGCGGAAAAAUAAAAAGCAAACAUAAACUUUUAUACUUUCAGCUCUCUAUUACUGGCUUGUAUUUUUUUUAAUUUUUAUUUUAAGUUCCAGGGUACAUGUGCAGGAUGUGCAGGUUUGUUGCUUUUGUAAAUGUGUGCCGUGGUGGUUUGCUACAUCUAUCAACCCAUCAUCUAGGUAUUAAGCCCAGAAUGCAUUACCUAUUUUUCCUAAUGCUCUCCCACCCCGCUCUCUACCCCCCAACAGGCCCCAGGAUGUGCUGUUCCCUUCCCCGUGUGCAUGUGUUCUUAUUGUUCAGUUCCCACAUAUAAGUGAGAACAUAUGGUUUUCUGUUUCUGCAUUAGUUUGCUGAGGAUAAUGGAUUCUAGAUCCAUUCAUGGCUCUGCAAAGGACAUGAUCUCAUUCCUUUUUAUGGCUGCAUAGUAUUCCAUGGUGUACAUGUACUUUUGAUUGCCUAUUUCAUUUACUUAAACAUAUUCAACCUUUCAAAAAUAUAUUGUUGGUACCUGAAAAUUACAAUAAAUUUGGUGUUUUGGGGUCUGA